GCUGGGCAUGGUGGUACAUGCCUGUGGUCCUAGCUACUUGGGAGGCUGAGGUGAGAGGUUCGAUUGAGCCCAGGAGGUCAAGGUUGCAGUGAGCUGAGAUCUUGCCUAAAACUACAAAAAUCAGCUGGGUGUGGUGGCAGACGCCUGUAAUCCCAGCUACUCAGGAGACUGAGGCAGGAGAAUUGCUUGAACCCAGGAGGCAGAGGUUGCAGUGAGCCGAGAUCAUGCCAUUGCACUCCAGCCUGGGUGACAGAGCAAGACUCCAUCUU
ensembl:misc_RNA Metazoa_SRP Metazoan signal recognition particle RNA